CACGGGGGGAGCAAGCGUUGUUCGGAAUCACUGGGCGUAAAGGGUGUCUAGGCGGUCAGGUAAGUGAGAUGUGAAAUGCCCCGGCUUACCCGGGGACCUGCAUCUCAUACUGCCUGGCUUGAGUAUGGGAGAGGAUGAGGGAAUUCCUGGUGUAGCGGUGAAAUGCGCAGAUAUCAGGAGGAACACCGGUGGCGAAGGCGGUGAUCUGGGCCGACACUGACGCUGUAGAGCGAAAGCGUGGGGAGCGAACAGG
rnacentral:rRNA from 1 species